rnacentral:rRNA from 2 species
UACGUAAGGGGCAAGCGUUAUCCGGAUUUACUGGGUGUAAAGGGAGCGUAGACGGUGAGGCAAGUCUGAUGUGAAAACCCGGGGCUCAACUCCGGGAUUGCAUUGGAAACUGUCUGACUUGAGUACUGGAGGGGUAAGCGGAAUUCCUGGUGUAGCGGUGAAAUGCGUAGAUAUCAGGAGGAACACCGGUGGCGAAGGCGGCUUACUGGACAGUAACUGACGUUGAGGCUCGAAAGCGUGGGGAGCAAACAGG